rnacentral:lncRNA from 1 species
CAGAUAGGAUGAGUGUCAAUGUGCCUAUCUGUGGCGAAACUGUCCAAAUUAAACUAGUUUAACUACGCCUAAUCGCUAUUUAGAACAGCAAUUAUCCGAAAUGCACUUAAAACAGUUUAAGUCCGGUAGUCCGUCGAGUGUCCCUAGGACUCCUCGAAUGAUCCAUGUCACGUCUCAUAGCCAUACACUAGGAUUACUUCCACGAUGGGAAAG